rnacentral:rRNA from 1 species
UCAAAGAUUAAGCCAUGCAUGUCUAAGUAUAAGCAAUUAUACAGCGAAACUGCGAAUGGCUCAUUAUAUAAGUUAUCGUUUAUUUGAUAGUACCUUACUACUUGGAUAACCGUGGUAAUUCUAGAGCUAAUACAUGCUAAAAAUCCCGACUCACGGAGGGAUGUAUUUAUUAGAUUAAAAACCAAUGCCCUCUGGGCUCCUUGGUGAUUCAUGAUAACUUCUCGAAUCGCACGGCCUUGCGCCGGCGAUGGCUCAUUCAAAUUUCUUCCCUAUCAACUUUCGAUGUUUGGGUAUUGGCCAAACAUGGUCGCAACGGGUAACGGAGGGUUAGGGCUCGACCCCGGAGAAGGAGCCUGAGAAACGGCUACUACAUCCAAGGAAGGCAGCAGGCGCGCAAAUUACCCAAUCCCGAUUCGGGGAGGUAGUGACAAUAAAUACUGAUACAGGGCUCUUUUGGGUCUUGUAAUUGGAAUGAGUACAAUUUAAAUCUCUUAACGAGGAACAAUUGGAGGGCAAGUCUGGUGCCAGCAGCCGCGGUAAUUCCAGCUCCAAUAGCGUAUAUUAAAGUUGUUGUGGUUAAAAAGCUCGUAGUUGAACCUUGGGCCCGGCCGACCGGUCCGUCUCACCACGUUGACUGGUCCGGCUGGGCCUUUCCCUCUGUGGAACCCCAUGCCCUUCACUGGGUGUGGCGGGGAAACAGGACUUUUACUUUGAAAAAAUUAGAGUGCUCCAGGCAGGCCUAUGCUCGAAUACAUUAGCAUGGAAUAAUGAAAUAGGACGCGUGGUUCUAUUUUGUUGGUUUCUAGGACCGCCGUAAUGAUUAAUAGGGACAGUCGGGGGCAUCAGUAUUCAAUUGUCAGAGGUGAAAUUCUUGGAUUUAUUGAAGACUAACUACUGCGAAAGCAUUUGCCAAGGAUGUUUUCAUUAAUCAGGAACGAAAGUUAGGGGAUCGAAGACGAUCAGAUACCGUCGUAGUCUUAACCAUAAACUAUGCCGACUAGGGAUCGGACGAUGUUAUUUUUUGACGCGUUCGGCACCUUACGAGAAAUCAAAGUGCUUGGGCUCCAGGGGGAG